rnacentral:rRNA from 1 species
UAGUCCACGCCGUAAACGAUGUCUACUAGCCGUUGGGGUACUUGAGACCUUAGUGGCGCAGCUAACGCACUAAGUAGACCGCCUGGGGAGUACGGCCGCAAGGUUAAAACUCAAAUGAAUUGACGGGGGCCCGCACAAGCGGUGGAGCAUGUGGUUUAAUUCGAUGCAACGCGAAGAACCUUACCAGGUCUUGACAUCCUGAGAAUCCUCUAGAGAUAGAGGAGUGCCUUCGGGAAUUCAGUGACAGGUGCUGCAUGGCUGUCGUCAGCUCGUGUCGUGAGAUGUUGGGUUAAGUCCCGUAACGAGCGCAACCCUUAUUUCUAGUUGCCAUUUGGAACUCUAGAAAGACUGUCGGUUAUAAACCGGAGGAAGGCGGGGAUGACGUCAAGUCAGCAUGCCCCUUAUGCCCUGGGCUACACACGUGCUACAAUGGACGAGACAAUGAGUUACAAAUCUGCGAAGAUAAGUUAAUCUAUAAACUCGUUCUAAGUUCGGA